rnacentral:rRNA from 1 species
GAUGAACGCUGGCGGCGUGCUUAACACAUGCAAGUCGAACGGAAAGGCUCCUGCUUGCAGGGGUACUCGAGUGGCGAACGGGUGAGUAACACGUGGGUGAUCUGCCCUGCACUUCGGGAUAAGCCUGGGAAACUGGGUCUAAUACCGGAUAGGACGAUGGUUUGGAUGCCAUUGUGGAAAGUUUUUCGGUGUGGGAUGAGCUCGCGGCCUAUCAGCUUGUUGGUGGGGUAAUGGCCUACCAAGGCGUCGACGGGUAGCCGGCCUGAGAGGGUGUACGGCCACAUGGGGACUGGGGACCGGCCCAGACUCCUAGGGGGGGCAGCGGGGGGGAAUAUUGAAAAAGGGGGGAAAGCCUAAUGCGGCGACGCCGGGGGGGGGAUGAGGGCCUUGGGGUUGAAAACUCCUUUCGCUGGGGACGAAGCGCAAGUGACGGUACUGGGAAAAGAAGCCCCGGCUAACACCGU